CGAGCCGCUUCUUUACCGCAGCGGAGGCGAGGACUAGGGCCGUGUUGUUGCUGCCAACUUGUCGAGAGGACACUGAGCAUGCGCGCACGGAGACCACAUCCGGAGGCUACUGCAACCUCUGAUCUUGCUUCUUACCCUUUCCUUUCCCUGGAAGGACAAGCUGAACCCAGCUGCUGCCUCUUUACUGUCCCCACACUUCCUGUCCUCCACUCCCUUGCCGCUCGUGACCUGGGAGCUCACAGUGCCUGCCCUUGACGGUGACCCCAGCGGAGAAGCGCUGAGCAUCCAGGGUCCACUCCUAAGACGCACUGGGGCAAGAUGCCUGUCUGUGGCUGAGCGAGCCUCCUGCGUCACUCAAGGACCUGUGCACCUGAGCAUCCAUGCAUCAUCUGUAAUCAGCAAGCGAAUGCAAACCCGGCUUCCUCAAGGCCAAGGCCCCAAAGCCACUGGCCUCCCCUCCUCCUUUUCAGGAAGGCUGGUUCCCAGGUCGGCUCCUGCCUGGUUCAACAAUGAAAUCAAUUCUCUCU